rnacentral:rRNA from 1 species
CCGGCGCGGCGACGUGGCCGCGGCAAUGGGCAAGGGCGAUGGCGAACGGCAUCCGCCGUGUCGUCGCGCUCAUGCCGGCGUCGGUGCUGCUAUCGCUGUCGCGAUCGUUGGCGGCCGUCGUCGGUAUUGGUAUCGCCGCCGCUGUAGCACCCGACGGGUGGAUGCGCUAUUCGUCGGCCGAACCGCCGGCGCGCCCGCUGCGCGCGUGCGCCGCGGCGUCGCGCGCGGGGCGGCGCACGGCCCGCACCUUCGCGCUGUUUCCGCCGCCGCAGAAGAACCGGUCGCCGCCGUCGGAUUCGAGCCCCGAUACGCCGACGCCCGCCGGCAUCCCGAGCGCCUCCAGCACGUCGCCCGUUUGCGGAUCGACGCGGCGCAGCUCGCUCUCGUCGUUUUCCCACGUGCCGUGCCAGAGCUCGCCGUCGACCCACGUGACGCCGGUGACGAAGCGGUUCGAUUCGAUCGUCCGAAGAAUCGCGCCCGUUUCGGGAUCGAUCUGAUGAAUUCGGCGAUCGCGAUACUGGCCGACCCAGAGCGAGCCUUCGGCCCACGCGAGCCCCGAAUUGCCGCGGCCGGGCGCGAGGAUCGUCGCGAGCACGCGGCCCGUGUCCGGGUCGAUCUUGUGGAUGCGGUCUUCCGCGAUCUGGUACAGAUGCCGGCCGUCGAACGCGGUGCCCGCGUGCGCGGCGACGUCGAUCGAGCGCUGCGUCGCGCCGCUCGCCGGGUCGAGCGCGUUCAGCUUGUCGCCGCAGGCGAACCAGACACGCCGGCCGUCGAACGUCACGCCGUGCACGCUGUCGACGCCCGGAAACGGGCCGUAUUCCUGGAUGAUUUCGGCGCUCGAUCGCUUCAUGUCCGUCUCCCGGUUGCUCGAUGGGGUCAUCCUAAUCGCCCGGCAGCGGCGCCGGGAGUAACAAGGUCGUCGCGAAUCCGGGCACGGGCGGGGUCGUCCAGCGGCGCGCGCGGCCGCAGCCGAACGAUUGCGCGUUGCCGGCCGCCGCGAGCGCGUCGAGCGAGCGCUGCACGGUGUGCUGGCUCGCGCCGAGCGCGAGUGCAAGCGCGGAACUCGACCACGAUUCGCCGUCGGCGAGGAGGGCGAGCACGGCCGCGUGCGCGUCCUCGUGCGGGCGCGCGAGCACCGCCACUUCGGGCGCCCGGCGCGGGAUCAGCACGAACCCCCGCUGCGUCGCGCGAAUGUCGGCCAGUUCGCCUAGCAGGGCGCGCAGCCGCCCGAUCUCGACGCGCAGCCGCGCGCGGUGCGAUUCGUCGGCAUGCUUCACGCGAAACGCGCGGGCGACGAGCGCCUCGCGCGGCGCGUCGCCGGGCCAGGCCUCGCCGAGCGCGCGUGCAAGCGCGAACAGCACGGGGCGGCGCGCGAGCGGAACCGUCGCGCGCGCGUCGUGCACGACGCGGCGGCACGCGUCGACGACGAGCGACGCCGAUGCGCGCCAGGCCUCGACCUCGUCGAGCUGCAGCGCGCGCGUUUGGCCGCGUGCGACGAGGCGCGCGGCGGGCGUGUCGAGAACGCGAAACGCGCGCUCGACUUCGGCCGCGAGCGCGGGAAUGCCCGCGUCGCGCGCCGCGCGCUCGGCGCGGGCGAGGGCCGCGCGUGCGGGCUUCGUCUCGAUGCGCCGCAGCGCGAUACCCGCGACGAUCAGCUCGUGCGCGGCCCGCAACGCGGGCGGGUGCGUGGCGGCAUCGAGCGCGGCGAGCGUGCGCGCGGCUUCGUCGACGCGGCCGAUCAGCAGCAGGCGGCGGAUCGCGAGGUAUCGCGCAUGCGCGGCAUUGACGCUGUCGCCGUGCGCCUCGAGCGUCGCGCGCGCCGCGUCGAGCGCCUUCUCGGGCCAGCCGAGCUCGCGCGACGCGAGCGCGAUCUCGGCUUCGGCGACGACGCAUCGCGCGCGGGCGAGCGCUUCGUUCGGGCUGAACGCGCGAGCCGCGCGGCGCACGAGCGCCUUUGCCCGGACGAACUCGCCGAGCUGCGCCAUCGCGAUGCCGCGAGCGCGAGCGCGGGCGCAUCGUCGCGCAGCGCGACGCGGUUCAGCGCGCCGAGCGGAUCACCCGCGGCGAGCGCGCGCGCCGCGGCCGUGAUCAGCGAGUCCAUCGGAAUCCCGCCACACUUGUCACUCCCACCGUUCGAAGCCCGCGACUAAUCUACCACCACGCGAUCACACUCCCCGCGCGCCGGAUCGCGGAACGAUCGAGCGGCGCGCGACGCAGGCUAAAAGGAGGGACGACCGAUGGCGACACACCCGACCGGUACGCGCGACGAAUGGCUCGCCGCGCGGCUCGAACUGCUCGAUGCGGAAAAGGCGCACACCCGGCGCGGCGACGCGCUCGCGCGGCAGCGCGCGGCGUUGCCGUGGGUGCGCGUCGACAAGGCGUACCGAUUCGAUACCGACGGAGGCGGCGCGUCGCUCGCGGACCUGUUCCGCGGCCGCUCGCAACUGCUCGUCUACCACUUCAUGUUCGGACCCGACUACGCGGCGGGAUGCCCGUCGUGCUCGGCGCUCGCGGACGGCUUCGACGGCUUCGUCGUCCAUCUCGCGCAUCACGACGUCACGCUCGCGGCGGUGUCGCGCGCGCCGCUCGCGAAGCUGCGGGCGUAUCGCACGCGCACGGGAUGGAGGUUCGCGUGGGCGUCGUCGCUCGACGGCGAUUUCAACUACGACUUCAACGUGUCGUUUACCGAAGCGCAGCAGCGUGACGGCAGCGUCGAAUACAACUACCGGCGCGGCGGCCGCGCGAUGGAUGUGACGCCUGCGCCUGCGCCCGUCGCCGGGUUCGCGGCCGAUUGCGGGACCGAUGCGCGCACGUACGCGCGCGAUCGGCCGGGAAUGAGCGCGUUCGUGCUCGAGGACGGCGCCGUCUAUCACACGUAUUCGACGUACGCGCGCGGGCUGGACGGCCUCUGGGGCAUGUACCAGUGGCUCGAUCGCGCGCCGAAAGGGCGCAACGAAACGGGCGUCUGGUGGCGUCGCCAUGACGAGUACGACGGGCGCUGAAGGCGUGAGCCGGCAUGGCCGGCGCGUUGCCGGGCGCGGCGUGCGGUGUCGCGCGGCGGGAGCGCGCGGC